GUUGACCUCUGUGAACUACAUUGAAAGGAGAGCCGAACUCAACCCAAUUCUUUCCUGAGGUUCAUAGAAAAGCACAUUAAAUCAGGUUUAAUCUGAAAAGAUUGAUUUCCAGGCUAUGCUCUGAGGCAAACGAGGCUGUGUUUCUAAAUCGACUGUCCACUAAACCGAGAAUGCAGGACCCUGGAAAUGGUAGAACAAGAGAACAAGUUGGAAGGGAGUUGGGGAGGUUGCACAGUGCAGCCCCUGCACCGCGAAGGGCCAGCGUCAAGGCUGGAGCUGGCUGCUCAGGGUCCAGGUGGGUCUUGGGAAUGUCCUGGGGCAGAGGGUCCACCACCUCUCUGGGCAGCUGCUCCAGCGCUUACCCACUCCUGCAGGGAAGGCGUUCAGCAAAACGUAGCUAAACAAAAGUCAGCUGGCCCUUCACACAGCUGUAGUGAAAUAGUGUGUUUUCCUGAAAUACGAUAUAUAUGUUUAACACACACACCAAAAAAAAAAAAAAAAAAAGAAAGAAAAGGACAGUGUAUGGGAAAACAGAGAAGUCUCAGUAGGAAAUGAGUGAUUACCAACAAAUUACUGUUGAUUUACAGAGAGAAUGUACAGAGAUUUAUACGAAUGAUACCUUCUGUCAGGCUAACUGCUAAAACUGCCAAUGGAAGGGCCUUACUGUGCAAAAAUGAACAGCAGAUGCUGAUCAUGAAAAGAAGUUAAAAGUCUCAAACAGCUGCUAAGGACAACACUUGAAUUUAUGGCUGGCAGCACCAAGCAAAGCUGUCAGCUCUUGUUUCCAAGCAAGGUCUGGGGACAGGAGUCUUACAAAUGCAUCGUGAUGACUAGAAAUCCACUGUAUUUGCCUCCAGACCCCUGACU